rnacentral:rRNA from 1 species
ACCCCAAACCGACACAGGUGGUUGGGUAGAGAAUACCAAGGCGCUUGAGAGAACUCGGGUGAAGGAACUAGGCAAAAUGGCACCGUAACUUCGGGAGAAGGUGCGCCGGCGAGGGUGAAGUAUUUACUACGUAAGCCCAUGCCGGUCGAAGAUACCAGGCCGCUGCGACUGUUUAUUAAAAACACAGCACUCUGCAAACACGAAAGUGGACGUAUAGGGUGUGACGCCUGCCCGGUGCCGGAAGGUUAAUUGAUGGGGUUAGCGAAAGCGAAGCUCUUGAUCGAAGCCCCGGUAAACGGCGGCCGUAACUAUAACGGUCCUAAGGUAGCGAAAUUCCUUGUCGGGUAAGUUCCGACCUGCACGAAUGGCGUAACGAUGGCGGCGCUGUCUCCACCCGAGACUCAGUGAAAUUGAAAUCGCUGUGAAGAUGCAGUGUAUCCGCGGCUAGACGGAAAGACCCCGUGAACCUUUACUGUAGCUUUGCACUGGACUUUGAGCCUGCUUGUGUAGGAUAGGUGGGAGGCUUUGAAGCGUGGACGCCAGUCUGCGUGGAGCCAUCCUUGAAAUACCACCCUGGCAUGCUUGAGGUUCUAACUCUGGUCCGUUAUCCGGAUCGAGGACAGUGUAUGGUGGGCAGUUUGACUGGGGCGGUCUCCUCCUAAAGAGUAACGGAGGAGUACGAAGGUGCGCUCAGACCGGUCGGAAAUCGGUCGUAGAGUAUAAAGGCAAAAGCGCGCUUGACUGCGAGACAGACACGUCGAGCAGGUACGAAAGUAGGUCUUAGUGAUCCGGUGGUUCUGUAUGGAAGGGCCAUCGCUCAACGGAUAAAAGGUACUCCGGGGAUAACAGGCUGAUACCGCCCAAGAGUUCAUAUCGACGGCGGUGUUUGGCACCUCGAUGUCGGCUCAUCACAUCCUGGGGCUGAAGCCGGUCCCAAGGGUAUGGCUGUUCGCCAUUUAAAGUGGUACGCGAGCUGGGUUUAGAACGUCGUGAGACAGUUCGGUCCCUAUCUGCCGUGGACGUUUGAGAUUUGAGAGGGGCUGCUCCUAGUACGAGAGGACCGGAGUGGACGAACCUCUGGUGUUCCGGUUGUCACGCCAGUGGCAUUGCCGGGUAGCUAUGUUCGGAAUAGAUAACCGCUGAAAGCAUCUAAGCGGGAAACUAGCCUCAAGAUGAGAUCUCACUGGGAACUUGAUUCCCCUGAAGGGCCGUCGAAGACUACGACGUUGAUAGGUCGGGUGUGUAAGCGCUGUGAGGCGUUGAGCUAACCGAUACUAAUUGCCCGUGAGGCUUGACC